rnacentral:lncRNA from 1 species
CUGAAGUAGUGUUGGGGACAAGGAAGAGAAGGUGUUGCUUGGUUGACUUGUUGCAUGUCACCAGCACCACAGAAAGAAAACAGGAUCCAGCUGGAGCAGGAUCUUCUGUCCAGUUUACUCAACUUCUGACCUGAUCCUUUGCUUGCCACAGACCCUGCCUUUUAUUUCCCUUUCACCACAGCUGGUGGUGCUACCAUCUGCCCCUGGAGCAGUCAGGAAUAAUUGGAUUCCAUGGAAAGUGCUCCCAAGGGGAUUCAUGGCAGUUUGCCUCCAUCACACCACCACAUUCCCCAGCCUCACAUUCACCAUCCUCGCCUGCUUCCCUCCCUCCUGCCUCCAGCCACAACGAGGGAAAAGCUCCUUGCAUUGAGGGGCCUCGCUUGGCUUUAAUAAAGCAGUGGAUCAUAAUUAGAACCCACCACCCACCUCUGGAGAGAAGCUGUUUCCAAAUGAAGUUUAUUAUCCUGACUGAAUGCGAGCAAACACAUCUCAGAGGGGAGCUUUUAAAAAGGCAAUUCCUUGCGAUGCUCAAUACCCUUUUUCUCCCCUCCUGGCUGGCGUUUCAGCCCAGCUAACCAAUUUUGUACCUUUAUUCCCAUGAUGAAGCUGAGAAGGGGGGUGGCCGUGUGUGUUUUUCUAAGCCUGGCCUACACUGGAAGCCACUUGCAAGUUCAGAGUGCUGCUUUGCUCAGUUUCUCGUGUGCAAACAUGCUGUGAAGCAGUUAAUGUCUGUAAAGCCUUUGUGGGCGUCAGCUCCCCGUGGAGAUGAAUGGGGACGUUCGGGCAUCUCAACUACAGUUUCCUGUAGUUCAUCAGCUGCACGGGGUAGUCCUUUUUCUGGAGGCUCUCCCAUCAAUCAUCACAACUGGAGACGUGAUUUUUUUUUAAGUCAGCUCUCAGCUGCUUUGGAGAGAAGAAAGGCUCCGAUGAAAGAGGCACUUUCCUCUGGUGUUUUGGGCACGGGUUAGUUUGAAGCCAAGAACUGGCUUGUCCUUAUCUCCACCUCCAAAGGUGUAGCUCCUGCAGCACCUCCAACAGUCAGCGCUGAAAGCUGUGAAGGUUUCAGGUGGGACACAAAAAACUGCUUCCAAGAGCAAGACCCCCCUCCCUUCCCACAAAGGCAGGAAAACCCCAGCGGUCCCUCCUCCCUGCGGGGUGUUCUCCGGGCUCCCUUACAGUGCCUCCCGCUGCCACUGGCAUCCAAACUACAAACCGCAGCUCGAUUUCUGGGAGGACCUUUACCUCGAGCUGAAGUUCGUGGUUUUCGGGUCUGCAGUUGCUGUGCACACCCGGGGAGGGGGCGGAAGGUUACUCCGCCGGCGGGCGAGGGAUUCUGCCCCACCAGGGCUGCUGCCGGCCAGGAGAGCGGUGUUGUCCCGCCGCAGGGCGGGAUGCUACCCGGCGAGAGGAAAGGGAUGCUGAUCGGCGGGCAGGGAGAGAUGCUUUCCCUCAGGAGGAAGGAGGCGGCGAGCAGGUGCCGGCAGAGCCGGGCCGGGGCGGGGGGCGGGCCGGGGGCUGGCGGCGGCGGGGGGCGGGGGGCUGCCGGCAGCGCCCUCCCCGCCCGCCCGGGGGGCGCGGCUGCGGCGGAGGCGGCGGCGGCAGCGCAGCCGCGCGGAGCGGAGCGGGGCCGGGCCGGGCUGCAGAUGUGCUGCGGGGGAAGCGUGCCCCGGAACCCCCAUUUAAUCACCCUACUCCUGAAAAGCAGAGCACGAAAUGCCGUGUAAAGCCCUGCCCGGAGCCCCCGAGCCCGUCCUGCAGAAGUUGGUCUGUUUGUGGUAACACCUUUUUGCAUCGUUCUGUCCAAAAGGUUCUGAUGAUGUUUCGAGGCAGAGCUUUUUUGCUUUUUUUUUUUUUUUUUUUUUGCUAAGGUUGACACACAUCUUACAACAUCAUGUCUUUGAUGAGCACACACGGUGUUAAUUGAGGUUGCCAUGGGAGGCAUGCACGUAGUAUAAAUAAGCUCCCUUCUUGCCAUGUGAUUUUCGCUUUUGUAUUCCUCAAGCCUCCUUUUUGUAUUCUCUGUUUUUGCAUAUUGUCAUAUGGUGCAUUAAAGAUAAAAAUAUCUGCUGUCUCAGGGUGUAAUUUCCCUAGCUGGAACUAUAAGUGCAUAUGGAGAAGUGGGGAAAGGAUUUAGCAAACCGUAGGAGAAGGAAAUAUGUGUGUGCCUGUGUAAUAAGUAUUCGCCAUAAUUUGGGCAGUUAUAUUAAAAAAGUCCCUUUUUAUCACAAAAAAUUCCAAAAUAGUACUUUCUGUGACGGAACAUCACUGGGUUGACAUCUUGUGGCCUUAUUUUGCCUUUGGAUAUUGAUGCUAAUUAGUGAAAAAAACCUCCUAUAGUGCAUCCAGCCCUGGUCUGCCUCCCAAAAUGAAAUAUUUAGGGAGAAAAAACUUUUUAGUACUUCUUAAAAAUUUCUCUACGGGUCUUAUCACUCAUUUAUUGUGUUCCAGAUAAAAAGAUGAAAGCCUCGGUCAUGCUUUGCAGCAAAUUUCAUGUAACAUACAAGGGGAACUGAAGCAGAAACCAAAGCCAAGGCAAAGCAGCAUCUGACCUUGUCACUGGGGGGCAGAAAACAGCCGCUGGUUCCACUGGUGCUUCAAUCAAGCUCCCUGGGCAAUGUGGAAUUGCAGAGAGCUCACAAAGUGCAAGUUCCUUCCAGGUCCGUAGGGUGAAUAAAAGUUGUUAAUUCUUGGCUUGAUUUGUCA